CCUACGGGAGGCAGCAGUGGGGAAUUUUGGACAAUGGGCGCAAGCCUGAUCCAGCCAUGCCGCGUGCGGGAAGAAGGCCUUCGGGUUGUAAACCGCUUUUGUCAGGGAAGAAAAGGUUCUGGUUAAUACCUGGGACUCAUGACGGUACCUGAAGAAUAGGCACCGGCUAACUACGUGCCAGCAGCCGCGGUAAUACGUAGGGUGCAAGCGUUAAUCGGAAUUACUGGGCGUAAAGCGUGCGCAGGCGGUUAUGCAAGACAGAUGUGAAAUCCCCGGGCUCAACCUGGGAACUGCAUUUGUGACUGCAUAGCUAGAGUACGGUAGAGGGGGAUGGAAUUCCGCGUGUAGCAGUGAAAUGCGUAGAUAUGCGGAGGAACACCGAUGGCGAAGGCAAUCCCCUGGACCUGUACUGACGCUCAUGCACGAAAGCGUGGGGAGCAAACAGGAUUAGGAUACCCUGGUAGUCCAGCCCUAAACGAUGUCAACUGGUUNUUGGAGGUUUCUNUCAGUACGAGCUAACGCGUGAAGUUGACCGCCUGGGGAAGUCGGCCGCAAGGUUGAAACUUAAAGUUGAAUUGNGNGNGNGAGNGCGAGNGACGAGAGGAGNGG
rnacentral:rRNA from 1 species